CCAACACCCAUCAGUCUCACUGGGUGAGAGCUGCCCGGUGGCAUUAAUCUUCUGUCCAUUCCAAUAGGCAACGUCUACGGAGAGAUCAGGCCCUGGUGGCCACAGAAAGCCUGCAGGCAAGUAAGUGCAGGGGCUGGGCGCUGGCAGUGCGCUGGAGAGCACCGACAGGGAGGAGUGAAGGAACACGGAUGGGCGCCUGUGAUGUCUGCCACUGGGCGUGUCGGCGGCAGCCUGCGUUGGCUUAAGAUGCACUGGAUGGCCUUCCGUCACCGAGUCGACUGCGAUAGACAGCAGCUGGUCACGAGGCAGGAUGCGGGCAGACUGCUAAAUGUAAACUUAAAGGUGAGAGAGAGAAGAUGAGGCAGAAAGAGCUACGAUAAAGCCACAGCAGCAAGACCUGUGGGGUGUGUGCUGUGUUUCAGACCCUUUCCGAAGAGCUUGUCAGGUGCAUACUCGGUGAAUCUCACCGGAGCACUUUGAGGAUCCCACACUUGGCUGGAGUUGGGCAGAGUCCCUUUCUGGCGAAAGUUGCUUGAAUUUUCAGGUUACACGUGCCCCACCGGGACACAGGCCAACCUGAGGGAUAGAUGGAAAGAAGAUGGUCAGCUGUCCAGCCAGGUGGGUCCCAAAGGGAAGGACCAAGUGCAGUGUCAGUUCAGAAGAGCUCUCUGUGCAGCCCUGCAAAUGUGGGAGAAAGCAGCUAUUUCUGCUUUUGUUCAUUUCUCCCAACCUCAGGAAUUUCUUAAUGAAUUAGUUGGAACGUGGAUUAUU